rfam:Desulfacinum infernum DSM 9756 genome assembly, contig: EJ47DRAFT_scaffold00043.43
CUUUCCGACGCCAAGAUUCCCGACGCCCAGGCCGGAUGGGAAAAGGCGCUCACCAUCGUCCUGGCCGCCAUGGGCGGUUCCAACUACGUGCAUCAUGCGG